rnacentral:rRNA from 1 species
GACGAACGCUGGCGGCGUGCUUAACACAUGCAAGUCGAACGAUGAACACCGGAGCUUGCUCUGGUGGGAUUAGUGGCGAACGGGUGAGUAACACGUGAGCAAUCUGCCCCCGACUCUGGGAUAACCCCGAGAAAUCGGAGCUAAUACCGGAUACGACACCUCCUGGCAUCAGGUGGGUGUGGAAAGAAUUUUGGUUGGGGAUGAGCUCGCGGCCUAUCAGCUUGUUGGUGAGGUAAUGGCUCACCAAGGCGACGACGGGUAGCCGGCCUGAGAGGGUGACCGGCCACACUGGGACUGAGACACGGCCCAGACUCCUACGGGAGGCAGCAGUGGGGAAUAUUGCACAAUGGGCGCAAGCCUGAUGCAGCAACGCCGCGUGGGGGACGAAGGCCUUCGGGUUGUAAACCUCUUUUGGCAGGGAAGAAGCGAAAGUGACGGUACCUGCAGAAAAAGCACCGGCUAACUACGUGCCAGCAGCCGCGGUGAUACGUAGGGUGCAAGCGUUGUCCGGAAUUAUUGGGCGUAAAGAGCUCGUAGGCGGUGUGUCACGUCUGCUGUGAAAAUCCAAGGCUCAACCUUGGACUUGCAGUGGGUACGGGCACACUCGAGUGCGGUAGGGGAGAUUGGAAUUCCUGGUGUAGCGGUGGAAUGCGCAGAUAUCAGGAGGAACACCGAUGGCGAAGGCAGAUCUCUGGGCCGUAACUGACGCUGAGGAGCGAAAGCGUGGGGAGCGAACAGGAUUAGAUACCCUGGUAGUCCACGCCGUAAACGGUGGGAACUAGAUGUGGGGUCCGUUCCACGGAUUCCGUGUCGCAGCUAACGCACUAAGUUCCCCGCCUGGGGAGUACGGCCGCAAGGCUAAAACUCAAAGGAAUUGACGGGGGCCCGCACAAGCGGCGGAGCAUGCGGAUUAAUUCGAUGCAACGCGAAGAACCUUACCAAGGCUUGACAUAUAAAAGGAAAAGUGCAAAGAUGCACUCCCCGCAAGGUCUCUAUACAGGUGGUGCAUGGUUGUCGUCAGCUCGUGUCGUGGAAAUGUUGGGUUAAGUCCCGCAACGAGCGCAACCCUCGUCCUAUGUUGCC